UCCCUGGUGGCUCAGAAGUUAAAGCAUCUGCCUACAAUGCAGGUAGACUUGGGUUCGAUUCCUGGGUCGGGAA
rnacentral:tRNA from 1 species